UACGAAGGGGGCUAGCGUUGUUCGGAAUCACUGGGCGUAAAGGGCGCGUAGGCGGCCGAUCAAGUCGGGGGUGAAAGCCUGUGGCUCAACCACAGAAUUGCCUUCGAUACUGUUUGGCUUGAGACCGGAAGAGGUAAGUGGAACUGCGAGUGUAGAGGUGAAAUUCGUAGAUAUUCGCAAGAACACCAGUGGCGAAGGCGACUUUCUGGCUUAUAACUGACGCUGAGGCGCGAAAGCGUGGGGAGCAAACAGG
rnacentral:rRNA from 1 species